GUUGUUCGUACAGAAGGCAAAUGUGGGAAGGUGAAUCUAACGGAAGAAGCUGAGAACUAUGUUUCUCAAAGAGGCGAAGGAGUGAAAUACUUGAGUUUUAAUGACAGCGGUCCACUAAAGGCGAGAGUAGGAGAGAUGAACUUCACAAAUACUUGCCGACAGCCAAACGCAUCUGGAUAUCCGCCGUGUAAGGACCUUUACUGGUGGUACAUCAACUGCAGCUUACUUACCCCUGUUAAUCUCCCCAUCAACCUGACGGUGCUCCUAAGGGGUAAAGAAAAUCACACUUUAGAAGUGGACCUGAAUAAUGCAACAUGGGUACAGUGGAAUCCAGACAAUCUCACAAACGAUACUUACACUACGGAGCAUUCAAAAAGCGAGAGUUGUGACUUCACAGUUCAAGUCACCUUAGAAGGGCAGUUCUCUUACGAAGUUCAGAAAGCAAGAGGGGACUUUCCGAAGAAAGAUACUGUAUCUGUUUCAUACCUCGCAAGCCGUGCAUCAAGGUUAUCUCGCCUAGGUUCUACAGGCUUAAUGUACAAUAUUGAAGGACGCCAUAAGCACGAAGUAUUUUGCCCAGACGGAAAAACACGAACGAAUAAAUCCAUAAAGAGCACACCUAAUAAAGGUAAUAAAGGUAAAAGGAAACACAAAAGAAAAGUUACGUGAAGCUUAGUUACAAUAUUUAAUAUAUCUUUUCGCCCAUUCAACAUGAACAUUAAAAGACUAAA